rnacentral:rRNA from 1 species
AUUGAACGCUGGCGGCAGGCUUAACACAUGCAAGUCGAGCGGAGCGAGGGUGCUUGCACCUUAGCUUAGCGGCGGACGGGUGAGUAAUGCUUAGGAAUCUGCCUAUUAGUGGGGGACAACAUUCCGAAAGGAAUGCUAAUACCGCAUACGCCCUACGGGGGAAAGCAGGGGAUCUUCGGACCUUGCGCUAAUAGAUGAGCCUAAGUCGGAUUAGCUAGUUGGUGGGGUAAAGGCCUACCAAGGCGACGAUCUGUAGCGGGGCUGAGGGGAGGGUCCGCAGCACUGGGACUGGGACCCGGCCCAGACUCCUACGGGAGGCAGCAGGGGGGAAUAUGGGACAAUGGGCGGAAGCCUGAUCCAGCCAUGCCGCGUGUGUGAAGAAGGCCUUUUGGUUGUAAAGCACUUUAAGCGAGGAGGAGGCUCUUAAGGUUAAUACCCUUGAUGAGUGGACGUUACUCGCAGAAUAAGCACCGGCUAACUCUGUGCCAGCCGCCGCGGUAAAAC